GGUGGGGGAACUGUUCUCGGGGCGGAGACCUCGGGGGCCGCCGCUGCCCUCCCACAGCGUGCAGACGCUGGCCAGCGCCGGAGGGAUCUCCUCUGGUCCGGCCCGCCGGCCCGCGGGCCAGCUGCUGGGGAUCGGAGAGCCGAGCCGGGGUUUCCUUCCUCCACCAAAAGCGGCGCUUCGCUGGGGGUGGCUGUCGCUCGGCCUCGCACUUCGCAGCCCCCGGGGCCGAGCGCCCGGGAUUGUCGGCCCACGCUGCACCCCACCCGGCACAGGGGAGCGCCGCGGCCACGCGACACACCGUCUUCGUGACGGCACGUUCCCUGCGGUGGAAUGUCUGCGGGGAAUGAAUGAAAACUUUCUGAAAAAUAAUUUCUUCUCGUGCACGUAUUUGGCCUUUGGUGUGACAUUAGGAGUUUCAAAGGAUAGGAAUUGGUGGGCGUGGUGGAGACGAACCUUGAAACUUGUUCGGCGUGUAAUUUCGUGUUGCCCUCACAGGAGUGGAAACAAAAUGUCAGUCAGUGUGCAUGAGAACCGCAAGUCCAGGGCCAGCAGUGGCUCCAUUAACAUCUAUCUGUUUCACAAGUCUUCCUACGCCGACAGUGUCCUCACGCACUUGAACCUUUUACGCCAGCAGCGCCUCUUCACGGACGUCCUUCUCCAUGCCGGGAAUAGGACCUUCCCCUGUCACCGAGCGGUGCUGGCUGCCUGCAGCCGCUACUUUGAAGCCAUGUUCAGCGGUGGCCUGAAAGAGAGCCAGGACAGUGAAGUCAACUUCGACAACUCCAUCCACCCAGAAGUUUUGGAGCUGCUGCUCGACUAUGCGUACUCCUCCCGGGUCAUCAUCAACGAGGAAAAUGCAGAAUCGCUUCUGGAAGCCGGCGACAUGCUGGAGUUCCAGGACAUCCGGGACGCGUGUGCAGAGUUCCUGGAAAAGAACCUGCAUCCCACCAACUGCCUGGGCAUGCUCCUGCUCUCCGACGCGCACCAGUGCACGAAGCUGUACGAACUCUCCUGGAGAAUGUGCCUCAGCAAUUUCCAAACCAUCAGGAAGAACGAGGAUUUCCUCCAGCUGCCCCAGGACAUGGUAGUGCAGCUCUUGUCCAGUGAGGAGCUGGAGACAGAAGAUGAAAGGCUUGUGUACGAGUCUGCAAUUAACUGGAUCAGCUACGACCUGAAGAAGCGCUACUGCUACCUCCCAGAGCUGUUGCAGACGGUGAGGCUGGCUCUCCUGCCUGCCAUCUAUCUCAUGGAGAAUGUGGCCAUGGAGGAACUCAUUACCAAGCAGAGAAAGAGCAAGGAGAUUGUGGAAGAGGCCAUCCGGUGCAAACUAAAGAUCCUGCAGAACGACGGCGUGGUAACCAGCCUCUGUGCCCGGCCUCGGAAGACUGGCCAUGCUCUCUUCCUCUUGGGAGGGCAGACCUUCAUGUGCGACAAGCUGUACCUGGUGGACCAGAAGGCCAAAGAAAUAAUUCCCAAGGCUGACAUCCCCAGCCCAAGAAAAGAGUUCAGUGCGUGUGCAAUUGGCUGCAAAGUGUACAUUACGGGGGGGCGGGGGUCUGAAAAUGGAGUCUCAAAAGAUGUCUGGGUUUACGAUACCCUGCAUGAAGAGUGGUCCAAAGCUGCCCCCAUGCUGGUGGCCAGGUUCGGCCAUGGCUCUGCUGAACUGAAGCACUGCCUGUAUGUGGUUGGGGGGCACACAGCUGCAACGGGCUGUCUCCCAGCCUCCCCCUCAGUCUCUCUGAAGCAAGUAGAACACUACGACCCCACGACCAACAAAUGGACCAUGGUGGCCCCCCUCCGAGAAGGCGUUAGCAAUGCUGCGGUGGUGAGUGCCAAACUCAAGUUGUUCGCCUUCGGAGGUACCAGCGUCAGCCAUGACAAGCUCCCUAAGGUUCAGUGUUACGAUCAGUGUGAAAACAGGUGGACGGUACCAGCCACCUGUCCCCAGCCCUGGCGUUACACAGCAGCAGCAGUUCUGGGUAACCAGAUUUUCAUUAUGGGGGGAGAUACGGAGUUCUCUGCCUGCUCUGCUUACAAAUUCAACAGUGAGACUUACCAGUGGACCAAGGUGGGAGACGUCACAGCAAAGCGCAUGAGCUGCCACGCUGUGGCCUCUGGAAACAAGCUCUACGUGGUGGGAGGGUACUUCGGCAUUCAGCGCUGCAAAACCCUGGACUGUUACGACCCGACGUUAGAUGUGUGGAACAGCAUCACCACGGUCCCGUACUCGCUGAUUCCUACUGCAUUUGUCAGCACCUGGAAGCAUCUGCCUUCUUAAACGCAGUACAUCUUCAAGAAGGUGAGCAUGAGCCCAGAGUAUGUUGGCAAACACUUGAAUUCGCCCUAUCCUGGGUGUUUGAACCUAAUCCCAGACUUCCGGUCCCCGGGAACCGAGCAAAUAAAGCGUUCGGUCGUAUGGGAAACCCCACCUCCCCACCCUGGGUGCCGCCAGCCAGAGUGGAGCACAGAACAACGGAAUUGGACAAUGCUCCUUCGCCUUUGCAAAGGGCGGGGUGGACCUGAUCAAAGCCACUCGUGCGGUUUCCCACAGAGAGCAUGUUGGUUUAAACGUCCAAAGUUUUCUACACACAAGACAGUGUAAAAACACUUCAGCUGGAUGGGGUGACUUUAAAAGAGGUGCUGUGCAGGUAUCAGCCCUAAGCUGCAGAAACUUCCGGGACAUCUCUUUGAUCUCCAAACCUCGCUCCAUCACUUGGUGAGACAAAAUGCGAUUUCUACUUUGGAGAGGCCAAAUUUAAUGAAGAGAGAGAAAAGAAAAAGGAAAAGAAGUUGCUACAAGGCUCCGAUACAAUGCACUGCACCUUGUAAAUUCUCUAACUGGACAUGAAGGAGGGGGUGGGGGAGGGGAGGGGAUUUUCAGUGCAAGUAGCACAUGGUUUAAAUAUGAAUGAAUGAACCUGUGAUCUAGUCCUUGUCUUGUAAUUGUGGAUUAAUGUCAGCGUUAAUCAGCCCCUCAAAGGGAGAGAAAAGCCGGCCCUUUUCCCUUGCUGUACCGCAUUCAGCAUUUGAUUUCCAUGGGCUCUACCAUUUAUGUGUAAAAUUUGAAAUGGUUGUCACCUCUCUGAGGAGCAAGCCUGAAGCCUCCACCCCAGCUGCUGUUGGAGAUUGAAAGCCCAACUGUGGGGCCAGGAGGGAAGCUGGCUUGGCUGGCUGCUGAGUGAGGACCACUGGACUCCCUGCUAAUCUCUGAGGGGUUGUGCUCCCCAGGAAGGUUCUGAACAAUGGGGACAUUGUUGGUAGGUAUUUGGUAGAUGUUCUUUUCUAUUUAUAAGUGACUUUAAACUUUUCCCUUGGCUGUUAAAAAAUUUGUUAUAGAUUUAGCUAUUUAUUGUUUGAUGCCUGCAUGCUGAAACAAUGCUUACAGUUGUCUUCACGUGUAUGGAUGUGUGUGAAUGGUUGUAUGUUUUGCACAAUUUUGUGGCUGUUGUGAAGUGCUUUGCUGCACAAAAAUGAAAACUUGGCAGUUAACAAUUUGGAGUAUAACUGGAGGGUGGGUUGGGAAGGGGAGGGGGUAUUUUGUAAAUGUCAAGACAGGGAAGGAGUAUAAGACCGAAACAGGUUACAUUGUAGAGGUAGAGAAAGCAUGGAGGUCACUUUUCUUAGACUCAGUAACUUUUAAUGGGGUUUCAUGGGCUCUGGUCAUGCUGAUGGCUCAUGGGGUGAGGGAAGGCUUCCCUACCCUGUUCCUUCCCAUCUGAGUCACCUACUUCAGUCUCAGCUACUGAAAUUUGGAAAGGACCAAGUCGCUUUGCAGUUUUUUUCCUUUGUGUAAUAUCCUGAAAUCCUGGAAAAUUCUAUGGAAUAGUUCUGUAUAUAGGGCCCAGGUUAAAGGCAUUGUCCAAAGUUUAUUUAUUUAUUUAUUACCCUGUGAGAAUGCUUUGCCAUACCCACAGUUAACAGGAAAAAGCUGAGUUGUCACAGAUGUAAAUUAAUUCACUCACCGGAUUUGCUUGGCCUGGUGGGUUCAUUGUUCUGUCUUCUUGAUGUACAGUUUAGCAAGUGUUAAGAGUUCUCCAAGACCAUAUUCACAUCGGUACAAUGUAUACUUUAGUGCUCACCCUUGGGUAAGUCUCUAAAAAGAACUCUUUGGUGCGCAAAAGUGACCCAUUUGGCCAGGAAACACCAAAGAAUGAUGAGCAGUGGCCCCUGUUGAGAGGUUUUCCGGGAUCGUUGGGAAUCUGUUGUGAAUACAUUCUUUGCUAGUUCGAGUGCUUGUUUACUAACCGUGUGCCGUGAUAGGUAUUAGUGCUAGACUCAAUUAGGUGCUUGCUCACAGGUGUCUGGGGAAGACCAGAGUUUGCAACUCGCACCGCUUUCAUCGAUGUUUCUCACAUUACUUGUAGUUUAGAAAAUAGGGCUUAAGACUGAUAACAACCUUCUACAUUGUGAGUGUAUUUGCAUUGUCUAGUGACAGAUAAAAAUCCUUAACAUUUCUCUUUACCUGCAUACUUUAGACUAAUUGUACAUGUCCGUUCGUGCCAUGAAUAAGUGGGUUAUAGUUGGACCAAAAUAAAUGAGCCAUUGGAAUAGAAGCGUCACAAUACUUUUCCAGCAGGCAGUUCCUCGCUCCUAGAUGUGUUCUAAGCAAUGCAAAUGUCUAAUUGUACUCCGCCGGCGUGGGGGUGGCGUUCUAUUAUAGCAGCUCCGGCUCUCUAGUUUAUGAUGCAAAUCUGCCGAGAUGUGUGUGUCACUGCGUGACUUCUGCAAGCAGGAUGAAUUUUCUGCAGCUGUUUCAAAGUUGUGGUCUGUCCUUGAAUCCUCUGUUAAUUACUGUGUGCGAGCCAGAGGGAGCCGUGGUCAGGGUGGGCCCCCAGCCUGCAGGGAACUUUCUGGACUCCCGCUCUUUGAAUUGAUGUAGGCAUUUGGGCUCACUACUUGACCAUUCUCACCCUGUGAAACGUCCCCCCACUUUGAAGCAAAUACAAUUCACAGCACAGUGCACACAAAAACCUUGGCAUAAGACAGAGAAGGUUCUUCUUAUUCUGUGGACUGGUUGCUGUGGAAACGCAUAACAAAGGGCAGCCUUCCACUUCUGGUAUAAUUGUGGAGCCCCCUUUUCUCUGGGCUUGACACCUGUCUGAAUAAGAGUGAUUAGAGCUGAAUAAUCUCCCUCGCGGCUGUUGAAUAUGUGGUUCACGUACAAAACUCUGUGUAAGUUGAAGUAAAGUGUUCAUGUUCAUAUGUGCUUGUCUGCUACUACUACAUAUUUGAGGUUUUGUAAAACUGUUAUUUUUUUUUCACAAUGUGAAACUGAAGGUCAAAUAAAUUAUUAGAGAUUUUCUCUU